rnacentral:lncRNA from 1 species
UUUUAUACACAUAUAAUAUUAACAAAAGUAGAGACGAGUCUUCUGAGCACUCCGUCUUCACCAAAAGAUAUCGUUGGGUACCUGUCUAACGUGGACCUGAGAAUACAAGCAGUUUGAAAAUCAGCAUAAAGCUGGUGAGUUCAUAAGAUGUUUGCUUUCUGAAAAAUGUACCAGUUUCCUUUAGUUUUCCCGAAAAGGUUUGUUAUCCAAGAAAAUCCCAUAUUUUCUUAUGUAAAACAGUUUAGUUAUCCUUCAUUACAGUUCAAUUACGUGUUAUAUGCUACCCCAGGAAAAUCCCAUAUUUUCCUAAAUACAAGACCGAUUGAAUAUUACAGAGUAUAGUUUAAUACACAAAACUAUAUAUUGAGAAUCAUGAGAUUACUAUCCCGAAUUAGGUAUAAAUACUUUAACUAUACGAACUGUAGAUGGAAAGUAGUUUGAAAACCUUGGGAAUAACAUCCCGUACUACAAAUAGAUUUAAUACCAUGGGACUAUCAUCUCGGACUAGAUACAAGAUAGUUUGAUAUACUUAAAAAUAUAGACUGAAACCAUGGGACUACUAUCCCGGAGUAGAUACAAAGUAGUUUGAUAUAUAUGAAGAUAUAGAUUGGAUACCAUGGGACUACUAUCCCGGACUAGAUACCGAUUCAAAACCAUGGGAUUACUAUCCCGAACUAGAUAUAGGUAAAACCACGAGAUUAUCACCCCCCUAAUAAAUAUAGAUUGAAAUCAUGGGAUUACUAUCCCGAACUAGAUAUAAAGUGAAAACCAUGGGAUUACUAUGCCUGACUAGAUACCGAUUCAAAACCAUGGGAUUACUAUCCCGAAUAAUAUAUAGUUAAAAACCAUGGGACUAACAUCCCAUACAAGUUAUAGAUACAAUACAAAAGUAGAUAUGAAAUGGAAUCAAAUUCAAAUCUAAACACCAGACGUGAAUAGACUUAUGUUAAUACGUAUUGUGAGUCGGGUAACCAUGCUGAUACGACAACGAGACCUCCUUGAUGCUUGUCAGACGUCGGACGAUAUCCAGAAUUUGUCACCCCAGGCGUGCCCGCCUAACUGUAGCUAGCAGUUAAGGUGUGGGAUUGUCAGUCCCGAAUAGAUCUAUUCACAAAUUCCUCGCUCUCCCUCCAGGAGACUCUGGUUACACUUCCGGGGAGGAUUUACCGAUCAUCCAUAAAGGGUAGUGACUAACUCACAAACUAGUACUAAACUAUUCACAAAUUCCUCGCUCUCCCUCCAGGAGACUCUGGUUACACUUCCGGGGAGGAUUUACCGAUCAUCCAUAAAGGGUAGUGACUAACUCACAAACUAGUACUAAACUAUUCACAGGGUUCUCAUACGAUAUCAAACAUACAAAAGAUUAUGAAACAUAAUACAGUGAAUAUAGAUACAUACAAUGAUACUAUCUGGCAAUACAUUCAAAUGAUACAGAGAUAAACUGAAUCAGACAUAGUUUAUCUAAUAAAUUUAUACACAUAUCAGUACAUGAUAAAACGAGAACUAAAGAAAUCCCAAAUUAUUCCCAUAAUAAUUUGAUUAGUUUGGUUAUUUUCUUAACUAAAAUCCAUUUAGUGGUAGUUGAUAGAUCAUUCCUUAUGCUCAGCAUAAUACAUAAGGAGUAAACGUGUUUAUAAAUUUGCCAGAUAUUAUUUGAAACACAUCAAUGUUAUGUUUUGAAAACAUUUAUAUUUUGUUUGUAUUCCCCCCCCCCUAAAAACAUUGAAAAACAGUGAAAAAGGGUAGGGGUAUGAACUCACCGGACGAGAAACGUGACGAUUUCGGACGCUAAACGAUGGUUCGGGACUUGCAAAUGCACGAGGUUCCUAUGUAUAAUGAAAAGAUACACAUUUGUAUAUAAUUAGGACUUAGAUUAUUUAAUUGUUAGGGACCAAUACUUCUAGUCGCGAAAACACCCCAUUACAAGUGUUUGGAGGGACCCGGGUGGCGUUUAAGGACUUGAAUGACCGGGAAAUGGAGUUUACUCUUCAAGAGUAAACUCUUACAAGAGUUUUCGGCCUAGAACACCCAUUCCCCAUGAGUUUACAGCCGUAAACUCAUGGUGGGGUGGUUUAUGGUGCAAAUUGGCUUGAAACACUUAGGGGAAAAUUUCUAGGGUUUGAUUUAAGGCUUGGAAUUGGUUAAAUUCAUCAAAUAAGACCACUUAAGGGAGUUUACGGCCUUAGCAUGGAGCUUACGGCUGUGAACUCCUAUGCACCCUUGAAUAAGUGUUUUAAUGCUUCCAAAUCAAUCACAUGUGAUUUCUAAAAUUGUUCCAAGGCCUUACAUGAAAUUUUAUGGGACUUAUGGGGUGUUUUUGGAGUUUACGGCCCAUGAGACCCUCCUCAUGGCCGUAAACUCUCCUAGAGUGUGAUUCAUUAUGUUUUAAGGCCAAAAACUUGUUUGCAUACACUUCUAAAAAUUAUUCUAAGGCUUUAGGGGUGUUAAAGUGGCUUUCUAACACCUUUGGAGGUGUUUACACCCCAAAAUGAAGGGUUUACGGCCCAAGCAUAAGUCUUGGCCGUAAACUCUCAAUUGUCCCUCAAAUAAUAUGUUUAAGGUGUUCUAAGGCUAAAACCAAUAUUCUAAAAUUCAUAACUAAGCCUUAUUAGUGUUUUGGAAGGGUUUAAGGGCAAUAAAACCCCAUAUAUAUGAGUUUACAGCCCAAGCAUGUGCCUUGGUCAUAAACUCCUUCAAAUCCCUCAAAAUCCAUGUCUAAAAUGUUUUAAGUCCAUUCCAUAAAGUCAUUUAGCCAUAUCUAAGUCCCAAAAUUGUUUAGGAGGGGUUUAAAGGCAUAAAAACCCCCUUACUAUGUGUUUACGGCCCAAGCUCCUUCCAGGGCCGUAAACUCAUAUACAAGACCUUAAUUCAUGUUUUAAUCCCGAAUUUGAAAGCCAAAUAUGCUAUACAAUGUGUUUAGGAAGGUUCCUCAAAGAUUUGAAGCCUUAAACUUGGAUUUAGGAGAGAGGUUAGAGAGAGAGUAGAGAGAGAAAGCAAAAGCUUCAAAUGAAGGAUUAAACACGUUUAUAUAGGUCGCAAAACUUGGACACGGUAGAAUUCUACCCGAUACCGGCAUUAAACGGGGCUUUUGGUCGCACCCGAUUAAGUUUCCGUUACUAGGCGGGAACGUUUCUAAAAUUUUUGAAAUAACUAUUUUGGGCUAAAUUCAUGAGUUCCUAAGAGGUUUGGACACUCAUUAGCAUCAAUUAAACACAUAAGUUUGAUUAACUUAACCCAAAAACGACAUCGGAACGUUUCGAUAUACGGCGAGUUAUACGGGUAGAAUGGGUUUUCGGCGAUGAACAACUUCGGGUUGUUACAUUAUCCCCCCCGUUAGAGGGAAUUUCGUCCCGAAAUUCAAAGAAUAAGAUAUAGAUCAUGAAUUGGAAUGAGACACGAAUGGAUUUGUUGCCUCGGAUCUUCACGUUCACAAGUAGAAUCAGGUCUCUGCUGAGCGUUCUAGCGAAUUCUCACUAUCGGGACAUGACUUUGUUUCGCACAUUGACUCUCUCUCAAUCUACGAUCUCAAUCGGUUCUCUCAUAGAAGUUUCAACCCUGGACGACUUCGGUUUCCUAAAAGGAAAUCACUAGGGUUUCGUCGGGUAGGUACUUUUAAGGAUUCGAGACGUGAAGUACCGGAUGGAUGUUACCAAGUUCUGAAGGUAUCCGAAGUUGGAAGGUUACAAAAUCGAUUCUAUGAGGAUCACGAAGGGUCUACUGUAUCACGAGGGAAGUAUUCUAUACUUCCUAAAGCGUAUCAUGCUUUUCUAGGAUAAAGCCAUCAACAGGACACACGCACCAACAGGAAGGCACGUCUUCAUGGAGCCGAGUGGCUAAGGGUCCGAUGGAUUUACAAGAAAUUUAUGGGUAAGACUGCGAUAUUAGUCGAUGAGACCCAAGAAUCGACAGGUCUCUAUAGGUAUUUUCGGUACCAACUAACUUUCUAUCGCCUUAGAUGCUGGAGAGGUACACGGUUACGACUAGUUUGCUUGGUUACAUGAUUCAAGGGAAAAAGAUUUGACCGGAAGGGUACCACUACUAAUCCGUAGUGAUCAUAUCAGUUCUUGGUCACCGUCUUGAACAAGUCAUUCUCACUGAGGUUCGGUCACGAGAUAGAUCCAGAGAUUAGGUCGAUGCGAGACUAGACUAGACUUUCGGAAGGAAUUCUCAGGAAUCCUUCUGGAAAAGACAUUUAGAGGAAAGAGCUGCUGACUUCCCAUUUCUUAAUGAUCACAGAAACGAGGGAUGCAUGGUAAUUCAUAUCGGGAAAAACUUGUGAGCUUUAAAGCAUGAAAUGCUACGAAGGUUUGAUGCCGAAGAUCACGAGAGUCGAAUCGGGGAAAAGAUCUAAACGGGCGACCCUUUCAAAACCAAGGAUAUCAACAUGAAUGAGACUCGGUCGUUUCAUGUCAAUCAUAACAUCAAAAUAUUUCAUGAAAAGUUUCCCAAUUGAAUCGGAUGGAACAGAAAAAUCCUCCGAACUGAUGAUACAAUCUACGGGUACGAAGUUAGUGUUCUCUAUCUCACUGGUUAGCCGACUCGAUGAUGCACAUUUCGAUUAGAAACAAAGAAUAAGGUUUAGAAAUCGUUCGGAUGGAUAGAUAACAAGUUUCCCUUCUGGUACUAGAAUCGAAUAGAGUUGCAAGUAUAAGAGUUGUCAAAGAGAAGUAUACCUGCGGCGACAGUGGGGUCAGCGGUUGUAGCUGCUUUGGGGCAGUUUCUUUUGAAAUGCCCUACUUCACCACAAUUGUAGCAGGCUGGACUGAUUCCCGCUCCGGAUGAUUGAUUCGUUGAUUUGGUUGGUUUUCUGCAGGUUCGAGCAAGAUGGCCCUUCUUUCCACAGUUGUCACAGAUCCUUUCGCGACAUGGACCAGGAAUGCGGUGGUGGUAACUGCACUUACCACCCCAAGGGAGGGUACCAGUGUAUCCACUGGUAGGGGUUUGGGCCAUGGAACCAACAGCUGAAACAACAACAGGGGCAGUAGCAGCAUGGACUGCUACUGUUUGUUGUUUCUUAGAAGACCCUUGCGUACUCUGGGCCUUCCUCUUGUUCCAAAAUUUCUUUUUACUUCCACCUCCACUUGUGAUCGGCUCAGGGGUGGUAGCCUCCUUAUCAGAGUUGUCUUCGUGAUCGAUCAAGAUUUUCGCAAGAAAUUUAGCGCUGUCAUAGGUGUCUGGCUUCACAGCUAAGACAUUCCCUUUUGUUGGUUGGGUUAACCCCCAGAUGAACCUCUCAACAUUUUUACUCUCUGCGGUAACCAUUCCCGGAUAGAGUAACGCCAAAUCAUCGAAUCUUGAAGUAUAAGAGGCUAUGUCGGAACCCUUCAUCUUAAGGUUCUAGAGUUCCGGUUCUAGCUUCUGAAUUUCACCCCGAGGGCAAUACUCUGCGAGUAGAAGCUCCUUCAUAGCUUUCCAACCCAUGGAAUUUGCUACAGGUAGAGUUAAGGAUUUGACUUGGCCAUCCCACCAAGUCAGGGCUUUGUCAAGGAAGGUGCAGGCGGCGAACUUUACUUUAUCAGACUCCGAACAGGCGCAUAUUUCAAAGAUUGAUUCGAUUUUCUCGAACCAUCGGGUGAGGGAAAUGACACCUCCAGUGCCAUCAAAGGAAGUGGGCUUCGCGUUCAUGAAGGCUUUAUAGGAACCCCCUUUUUGGUGUCCCUGACUGUUCUCUGGGUUUUGGGUUUGAGUACCACCGGAACCAUCCAAAUUCCUUUGAGACAUAGCAGCUGCCACUGUGGCAUUGACAGCUGCUUGGAACAUCACAGGGUCAAAUUUAAGAGGAGGUGGUGGCAGAGGGUUGUUGGUGUUCUUCGAGCUGGGUCUCUUUCUUGGAGGCAUCGUGAUCUAAAAAGAUCAGGAAAGAGAGGAUCAUAAGUCCUCUGAAUUGAAUCAAGAGAUAUGGAAUAGGGGAUAUAUCAUCAAGACAGAUAUAACAUCGUAUUAAGCGAUAAAGCAGGAAAGAGUUAUCAAGACAGAACAUUUUAUCGCUAGAGGAUUGAUCAAGGAACAACGCGUAUACGAGGAUUUUCUACAAAGGAUUGACUCGAGAAAUACUCCCAUAGUAUUUCAUGAUACAUUUAGUUCAGAGCACUUAGGCCCCUUAAUGUUUAUAGUUUUAUACCAUGUAAGUUUUGGUAUACUCCGUUUACUAUAAACAAGGGCUCUGAUACCAAUCUCUCACACCCCGAAAACCAAAGGCGGAAACGUUUACGGGGUUGACUCCACGUUGAGUAUCAAAUCCAAUGCACAUAGUAAUCAAAGUAAACAGCCAUUACAUUACAUAUAUUUGAAAGUUUACAUUGUUUCAAAAGUAAAUUGUACAAGUUUUUAUACACGUAUAAUAUGAACAAAAGUAGAGACGAGUCUUCUGAGCACUCCGUCUUCACCAAAAGAUAUCGCCGGGUACCUGUCUAACGUGGACCUGAGAAAACAAGCAGUUUGAAAAUCAGCAUAAAGCUGGUGAGUUCAUAAGAUGUCUGCUUUCUGAAAAAUGUACCAGUUUCCUUUAGUUUUCCCGAAAAGGUUUGUUAUCCAAGAAAAUCCCAUAUUUUCUUAUGUAAAAC